rnacentral:rRNA from 1 species
UACGUAGGGUCCAAGCGUUAUCCGGAAUUAUUGGGCGUAAAGAGCGUGUAGGUGUUCUUACAAGUCGGUCGUUAAAUCUCAGAGCCUAACUCUGAGACCGCGAGCGAUACUGUAAGAAUUGAGGUUUACAGGGGCAAGCAGAAUUUCUGGAGUAGGGGUGAAAUCCGUUGAUACCAGAAGGAAUACCAAUGGCGAAGGCAGCUUGCUGGGUAAUACCUGACACUGAGACGCGAAAGCGUGGGGAGCAAACAGG